UACGUAGGGUGCGAGCGUUAAUCGGAAUUACUGGGCGUAAAGCGUGCGCAGGCGGUUUUGUAAGCCAGAUGUGAAAUCCCCGGGCUUAACCUGGGAAUGGCAUUUGGGACUGCAAGGCUCGAGUGCGGCAGAGGAGACUGGAAUUCCUGGUGUAGCAGUGAAAUGCGUAGAUAUGCAGAGGAACACCGAUGGCGAAGGCAAUCCCCUGGGCCUGCACUGACGCUCAUGCACGAAAGCGUGGGGAGCAAACAGG
rnacentral:rRNA from 1 species